GGAAUAUUGGGCAAUGGGGGAAACCCUGACCCAGCAACGCCGCGUGAAGGAAGAAGGCUUUCGGGUUGUAAACUUCUUUUAACAGGGAAGAUAAUGACGGUACCUGUUGAAUAAGCCACGGCUAACUACGUGCCAGCAGCCGCGGUAAUACGUAGGUGGCGAGCGUUGUCCGGAUUUACUGGGUGUAAAGGGCGCGUAGGCGGGGAUGCAAGUCAGAUGUGAAAUCCAUGGGCUUAACCCAUGAACUGCAUUUGAAACUGUGUCUCUUGAGUGUCGGAGAGGUAGAUGGAAUUCCUAGUGUAGCGGUGAAAUGCGUAGAUAUUAGGAGGAACACCAGUGGCGAAGGCGAUCUACUGGACGAUAACUGACGCUGAGGCGCGAAAGCGUGGGGAGCAAACA
rnacentral:rRNA from 1 species